UACGUAGGGUGCAAGCGUUAAUCGGAAUUACUGGGCGUAAAGCGUGCGCAGGCGGUUUUGUAAGUCUGUCGUGAAAGCCCCGGGCUCAACCUGGGAAUUGCGAUGGAGACUGCAAGGCUUGAAUCUGGCAGAGGGGGGUAGAAUUCCACGUGUAGCAGUGAAAUGCGUAGAGAUGUGGAGGAACACCGAUGGCGAAGGCAGCCCCCUGGGGUCAAGAUUGACGCUCAUGCACGAAAAGCGUGGGGGAGCAAACAGG
rnacentral:rRNA from 1 species